rnacentral:rRNA from 1 species
UACGGGGGGAGCAAGCGUUGUCCGGAUUGACUGGGCGUAAAGCGCACGCAGGCGGUUGCGCGCGUGGGGUGUGAAAUCUGGCCGCUUAACGGCCAGGCGCCAUCCCAUACGGCGCGACUGGAGUGAUGCAGAGGUCGAUGGAAUUGCCGGUGUAGUGGUGAAAUGCGUAGAGAUCGGCAGGAACACCCAGGGGGAAACCAGUCGACUGGGCAUCUACUGACGCUGAGGUGCGAGAGCGUGGGGAGCGAACCGG